CGUGGUCGCUGGCUAUUGCCGUGUAAAGCCCCUUCGACGAGUCGAGUUGUUUGGGAAUGCAGCUCUAAAUGGGAGGUACAUUUCUUCUAAAGCUAAAUAUUGGCCAGAGACCGAUAGCGCACAAGUAGAGUGAUCGAAAGAUGAAAAGCACUUUGGAAAGAGAGUCAAACAGCACGUGAAAUUGUUGAAAGGGAAGCGCUUGCAGCCAGACUUGCUUACAGUUGCUCAUCCGGGUUUUUACCCGGUGCACUCUUCUGUAGGCAGGCCAGCAUCAGUUUGGGCGGUAGGAUAAAGGUCUCUGUCACGUACCUCCUUUCGGGGAGGCCUUAUAGGGGAGACGACAUACUACCAGCCUGGACUGAGGUCCGCGCAUCUGCUAGGAUGCUGGCGUAAUGGCUGUAAGCGGCCCGUCUUGAAACACGGACCAAGGAGUCUAACAUCUAUGCGAGUGUUUGGGUGUCAAGCCCGAGCGCGUAAUGAAAGUGAACGGAGGUGGGAACCCGCAAGGGUGCACCAUCGACCGAUCCUGAUGUCUUCGGAAGGAUUUGAGUAAGAGCAUGGCUGUUGGGACCCGAAAGAUGGUGAACUAUGCUUGAAUAGGGUGAAGCCAGAGGAAACUCUGGUGGAGGCUCGCAGCGGUUCUGACGUGCAAAUCGAUCGUCAAAUUUGGGCAUAGGGGCGAAAGACUAAUCGAACAUUCAUAU
rnacentral:rRNA from 1 species